rnacentral:rRNA from 1 species
AGAGUUUGAUCCUGGCUCAGGAUUAACGUUGGCAGUGUGCCUAACACAUGCAAGUCGAGCGAUAUAGCGGCAGACGAGAGAGUAUAAGAAAGGAACGUACCCCCGAGUGAAGGAUAGCCAGCCGAAAGGCUGGGUAAUCCUGCAUAAUCCCGCAAGGGCAAAGCUUUACGCGCUUGGGGAGCGGCCUUUCUCCUAUCAGCUUGUUGGUGAGGUAAUGGCUUACCAAGGCGAUGACGGGUAGCUGGUCUGAGAGGAUGAUCAGCCUCGAUGGGACUGAGACACGGACCAUACUCCUACGGGAGGCAGCAGUUGGGAAUUUUGCACAAUGGAGGCAACUCUGAUGCAGCAACACUGCGUGAAGGAUGAAGGUUUUCGGAUUGUAAACUUCUUUUAUCUGGGAAUAAUCUUGAAGGUACCAGAUGAAUAAGCACCGGCUAACUACGUG